ACAAAGGUAUUGAAAUAAGACUUUAAUUGAGUGCUAAGAGAAUGGAUUAACGGUAAAAUUCUUUUUUAAUUUCAAAAAUUGAAGUUAUUUUUGUUAGUGAAGAAACUACAAUAAAAAUUAAGGACAAGAAGACCCUAAGAAUUUUAAAUAAUUUAAAAAAAAAAUUUUUUUUUUAAAUUAUUUUAAUUGGGGCGAUUAAUAAAAAUAAGAAACUUUAUUUCUCCAAAAAAAUGAACCAUUAAUAAUGGCCAUAUGAAAAAAAUACUCUAGGGAUAACAGCG
rnacentral:rRNA from 1 species